UACGGGGGAGCAAGCGUUGUUCGGAUUUACUGGGCGUAAAGGGCGCGUAGGCGGCCACCGCAAGUCGGUUGUGAAAUCUCCGGGCUUAACCCGGAAAGGUCAACCGAUACUGCGGGGCUAGAGUGCAGAAGGGGCAACUGGAAUUCUCGGUGUAGCGGUGAAAUGCGUAGAUAUCGUAAGGAAGACCAGUGGCGAAGGCGGGUCUCGUGGACAGUUCCUGACGCUGAGGCACGAAGGCCAGGGGAGCAAACGGG
rnacentral:rRNA from 1 species